AAAACUGCCCUUUUCAGGGCAACCCAUUUUAAACUGCCCUUUUCAG
rfam:Ciona savignyi cont_31275, whole genome shotgun sequence.